GGCCUAAUACAUGCAAGUCGAACGGUAACAUGUCCCGCAGCAAUGCGGGGUGAUGACGAGUGGCGCACGGGUGAGUAACGCGUAUGCAACCUACCUCCAACCGGGGAAUAGCCCCGGGAAACCGGGAUUAAUACCCCAUAAUAUCCAGAUGUGGCAUCAUAUCUGGAUUAAAAUUCAGAUGGUUGGAGAUGGGCAUGCGUGGCAUUAGCUAGUUGGUGAGGUAACGGCUCACCAAGGCAACGAUGUCUAGGGGGUCUGAGAGGAUGAUCCCCCACACUGGUACUGAGACACGGACCAGACUCCUACGGGAGGCAGCAGUAAGGAAUAUUGGGCAAUGGAGGCAACUCUGACCCAGCCAUGCCGCGUGCAGGAUGACAGCUCUAGUAGUUGUAAACUGC
rnacentral:rRNA from 1 species